GAGAGAAUACUACGCCAAGUUACCAAAAAACACUCAUCUCCAGCUGAUCCCCACUACACACACUGCCCAAAAUUUGCAUCUUCAUUCCUCCUCAUGAACAUUGGGAUCAUGCCAUCCAAUCCCUGCUACACGUUGCUUCACUCAGCUACGCACUUCCCAAAAUCUGAUGCUUCACCAUACGCUCCUCGUGACCAUUGGAUCAUGAGAAUGGCUGCUAAGCCGAACACUAAUAUAUCCGGAUAUCUCUCGCCCUCCCUCAUCACAAAUAAUCUGUGAUACCAACAGUUCAAGAAUUUAGAGGAAGGGAAUCUGCUUCUCGUAAACCCUAGCGUAAAAAGCUCUGUUCUCUCUCCUUGAUAGAAAAAAACCUGCCGCCAGUGCUAGAGGAGGAGGGGAAACCUUCUGGUUUCCCUCCUCCUCCCCUCUUCUACAGAUUUAUGCUUUUCUUUUUGGUGAGUUUCUCUCUUGAGAGAACUCUUAUCUCCCUAGAGUUUUCUCUAGGUCUUCGCUCUCUAGAGUUUUCUCUAGAUCAACUCAUCGUCUUUGACGAUUUAUCCAAGAUCCUCUUAAAACAGCAGGUUUGGUCUUCUGUUCUCCAACGAGUCGCUGGCCGUUUAUGCGAAGCUUUCAAGAUGGGAUUUUUCAAAAUCAGAUCUUGUUUUCUCCGCUUGGCCCAGCCGGCAACGCGCCAUACCACCCCUCUCACUGGCAUUCCAGCUUCCCGUCGCCUCCUUCCGCCUCUUCUCCACACAGCCACGCACCAGGAACACGCGGUCACGCGUGGGUCCAACAUGCCGGACGGGUUCCGCUCACCGCCUUCCUCCCCCAGAUGCUGGUUUCUGGGUUUUUUUGUAUGUUUUUCUGUUUGUUGGUGUUGUGGUUUGUACAACUCAGCCCAAACGGUUGGGCUUCAGACUCUUUGUCUGUGUAGAGAUCCCCUUUUCGCUAUUCUUUUCCUUCUUAGUCUGCCCGAUUUCCUAGAUCUAAGUUGCCACCUCUUAGUCGGUUCGGUUUCUUUGGUUACCGAAUUAGAUCUUAGUUUUUAGGGGUUGUUGUACUCCCGAUGGUUUUAUCCAUCAUAUUUGGCCGCGGCCUUCAAAAGCUGCAUUCCCUCGUGACUGUCACCUUCCUGGAUUUCCUUCAGGGCUUUGAGGUGCUGAUGUCUUCUUGGUUGGGUUUUUGUGUUGUAUUUUUUUUCGUUUUGUUGUUCCUCUGUAAUCUGGUUUAUGUGGAAUGAAGUAGAUUUUACAAAAAAAAAAAUCUGUGAUACCAAAUCCAAUCCCUCAUAAAGUGGUGCUGCUUGGGAGGUGGUAUGUGAUUCCCAUUGGGGUUGAUGCGGACGUACGGUAUGUUCAUCAGUCAGGAACGGCCGAUCAAACCAUUUUGGUAAGGAAAUGAACGGGGGAGCUUCAAUUCUUUGACGUGCACAUGAUAAAAAUGACACUGCUGUGAGUCUUAUGUGUAAGUGCUAAAUGGUGUUAUGCUUAUGCUUGCGGGGGUAAGUAGAUUUAGAGAAGCCGAGCAAGGAGGAAAGUGCAAACAGCAAAGAGAAUUAUGAUACUAGGUUGCAGCGUUCUCUUAAUUGACCACUAUUGUCUAGAUUAGGUAUAUGCAACCACUUAUAUCAUGACAUUAUCCGAUGCUCUCAACUCAAAGGAAUACGUUUUCAUUAUCCGUUGAUCUCCCAUUAUAGCACACGUUGAUGCGUGGUUAAACAGGUCCAUAGGUAAGUUUUCUUUCUUUUGUUUGUUUGUUUAUAUUUGUUUAUUUUUUUAUUUUUUAAUCAAACGCUAGCUUUUCUUUAAUUUGAUUUGAGUUUUUUUUUUUACGCCUUAACACACUAAUUUGUACCUGAAUAUGUUUGAAUGAGACUCUUUAAGGGUACAAUAUUCGGUUUUGGGAGAACUAGAAAGAAAAUAUUUAAGAAUAUCGCUUACACUUUUCGGAGUUUUCGCUUAGCCAAUGCUUAUUGUGGUGAUAUUUCAAAUCGGUUUAGCAUUAUCACCCAAUAUUUGACUGUUUUACGUUGUUCUACUCCCAUUCCAGCCAAAAAUGAAAAUGACUUGAAGAAUAGUAUAAUGCAUGAUAUGUUGUGUUUUCGCAACUUAGUGUAUACGAUACUCUAGGAUCAUCUAAAUUUGAGAACCCUUAUUUUUAAUUAACCUUUUCUUUUCUAAACUGUUUAUCAACAGUUUAUUAGAUAUCAAAAAAGCAGGUUUUUAUCAAUUACGGCAUCUAGUAUUUUAUGUUGUUGAUGAAAUGAGGAAUUUUUGUGAGGUGGUUUAUGAGUUGAGGAAAGACUCAACAUGGGUUUU